rnacentral:ribozyme from 1 species
UGCCAAGCACCUCCUAUCCCUACCUCCUCGUGGUGCUGGCCGGGGUACGAGUAACCUUAGGGUAAAUCGGGUAACAAAACCCGAUGGGAGCUUUGGUCGUACGCUGACAGGGAAGU